AAAUAUAUAUAUAAAAAUAUAUAUAUAUUUUUGUUCAUGCAUUGUAAAGAUCAUGCAUAAAAAUGUGUAUGUAGGGGGGCAGAGCCUGACUGCAGAGGCAAUCUGUCGCACUAACUGGGAGCUCCAAGAUACAAAUAAACAAAAACGGAAAAAUCCCCAAACAACAAAUCCCCAACUCACAGCAAAGACCCUCUGUAUACCCUCUGAAGACAUGGGGCGCAAAACAAAAAAAACAAACAUGGAGAAAACCACCUCCGGGCUCACAAUAGGAGACAUGUGGAGACAGGCCCAUGGUGCAAGCGGGCCCAACAUGGUGGCGCUCCACGGAGGCUGCUCCCACUUCUCCGACGACCUCUCAGGGGAGGAGUACUUGCCAGCACCCAAGUCGGGACGAUCAUCGCAACUGACCACCACCAGCCUGGACUCUGCACCGGUGACCGCAGCGGUCCUCAAGCAACUGCUCGCGGAUCACCACAACAGACAAAGACAUCUCCGCACCACGGGGCGAUCUAAAAAGGUUGACAGCCCACCUGACCACACUUGAAACCACAGCCGAAACAAACACCCGUGACAUAGGUGAACUUCAACGGGCAGUACAUGACUUGCACCUGCAACAUCAGAAUCACGAACACCACAUGGCGGAACUAGAAGACACCAGGAGGCGAAACAACCUUAAGUUUAGAGGGGUCUCUGACACAAUACCCGAGAAAGAACUGCCGCGGGUUAUUAAGCGUAUACUCGCAACAAUACUGCCACCCGCACAAGCCCACAGUAUCAACCCCGACUACCUGUUCAGGAUACCCAAACCACAAAGGGCACCAACCGCGGCCACACGGGACAUUAUAGUCACUUUCCGACACAGAAACGACAAAAAGGCAGAUGCCCUGCGGGGAAAAUAACCCUCCAAUUUGAAAACAUGCCUCUGAGCGUCUUUGCCGACCUCUUGAGCGAUACCCUGGCAUGGCGGAUGUCCCUCUGACCCCUCACUACACUUCUCCAUCGGCACAACCUCCAAUACCACUGUCGACCAUCCCACACACUCACCGUCCAGCAGGGGCCUGACUCUCACAAGAUCCGAGACAUUAAUGACGCAGCACCACUCCUGCAAGCACUAAGUAUAUCACGGGACUCUCUUGUCCAGCCGGGCCAAGAGAAAACAGCCUCCCCAAGGCACAUGUGGGACCUGAACAGAACAGUCCUGUUCGUAAAGCAAGGGUCUAACAACUGAACCCUACGUGGCAGUCACCACCUAAACGAGGUCGGACGGAAACACUGCAUAAUUGCGAUGUGGCACGGACUUGAACGCCACCCAUGCCUCAUACCCACGCAGGGCUUUGGGUAACUCUUUCUUCACGAGAACGGUCAUACACCUCUUUGGCCCCUCGAACUAACCCUUUAGACAGCUGUUUACUUUAAUUUGUUUACAUUUCAUUUAAUGUGUUAUAUAUUUUAUCUCAACUGCUGGGUUUCCUUGUGUUAAGCCCCGGAACGCAGCACAACACAGCUCUCCACAGAGCCUGCUCUGCAUUACAAUUUAUAUCUCACAUAGCCAUAAAGAUCAUUGUAUAUGUCAUAGUUAAUUAACGUUCAACACCUACGCCUAGCCCAAUCGAACAUCCACGAGAGUCUACCGUCCCAACCGGUCACCCAGCCCUAGCUACUAUGCAGCACUGACACUGACAGAUUAAACCAACAGGUCACCACAUAUAGGCCUAGACACCAGCGCAGGAGGAUGAUAGACGGUGCGCUGGAGCUGGUUACACAUAAUCAACACAUAAACUCUAGCGGUAAACUGUGUUAUCACGGCAUGGGAUCACUCAGCAGAACAAUGUGCUCACAAACCUCACACAUGUCUAUCAAUCACCCUUUUUAUCGCCAUAAUUAUUGGAGCUUUUUCAGCACAGUUCCCUAUAGGCCUCACAUGGGGGGGAUACAGAGACUAUACUCACAGGCUUCUCUAACGAAGGACACGGCACACACGAGCCACUCACCCAUGUACACUAGUCAGGAGCACACUCCCAUCCACUGACGGGCUCCAUCCCUCUCGCUAGAGAUAACUAUCACCGUGCCAACGGGGGCAUCGGCCUUAUGCUACAAUGGGUUCUGUUUUUACCAUUUACAUUGUUUAUAUGGUUUUCUCUGAUGGCAUGCAAUUCUAUUCUCACACAUUACACCCCUCUGGGGCAAACUAUUUAACCUGCAGCCUGAUAUAACUGCAAUCUUACAAAUGGCUUAACACCCAAAUAUACAAUGUUCACAGGACACUCAUUGGCCACAACCUCUGCUCAGCAUAUCAUCCAGCGCAACAGUGCUCACACAAUGGAUCUGCCCACAGAGCACACAGACACAUUCUCAGCUGUUCAUUUAUACAGCAUCCUUAUUAAUAC
rnacentral:lncRNA from 1 species